rnacentral:lncRNA from 1 species
UUAUGAUCUUCCUCUGUAAUGACUUAAUUUUCCCAAUUUUUCCUUUUGAGAUCAUAAGUUCAUGACUGUAAUCCUGUUAAUCGGGUAAGCUCAUGUAACAUUGUAACUUCGUUUUUAAGCGUUUCAAUUCUAUCUGAAACAAAUAAAAUGCUUUUCAUCGUGGGCGAUUUCGUUUCACUUAAUGCAAUCGCUGACGUAUUUCUCGCGAGAAGCGAGGGAGUACCCUCACCGCUCGUUCACCCUGUAUAAACUCCCAUUCCGGUUGUACAGGUCGGCGAAGCAUGGUACCGGAGGGAUCCGAUAUCGAUCCCUGGGGGUCCGUUUAUGAAUGAAGCCAUUUGAACUUGAACUUUUUCGCGCUACCGCGUCAACGUCGUAUUGUCGUUCCGUCGCUUUGUCAUGAACCGUGCCAAUGCAGUCAACUUCAGUGGUCCUAAAGUUAACGGUUAUUUCUAUCAGCACAGAUGAGCUUUCUGAAUUUAAAGUGUCCUCGCAGUUUGUACAAUCUCUGCAUUGAAGUAGUCGUGUCCGUUUUGAAAAAUGUAGAGGAGCCAGCUAAAAGGAGCACGCUAGUGGAGAAAUUAGCCCCAUCAAUACUUGAGGAUGUUAUGCUAUUCGCUACUUGGAACACCCGCUCUUGGAGCCAGGACUGGUCCUCACUUUUGACUGCCUCCAUUCGCGCCGCUGUGGUGCCAUAUCAGCGCGACAUACUUCAGAAUUUGAAAAAUCAAUGCAAGCUUGGCGUAUUGGUUUGA